ACAUUCUAAUUAAACUACUUCUU
rnacentral:tRNA from 2 species